ACGGAGACACUCCUCUAGUGUCGUAAAUCAACCAAUCACAAGCGGGCUCUUCUCCGUUAUCUCGCAUCGAUUCUGCUUUCAAUCCAUUCUCUCCGUUUUCGUCUCAAAUAUUUCCCGUCUCCGACUUUCACCCUCACGUACCUCCGACUUCAAGCCUCCUUCUCAACUAUAUCUAACAAUGAUCCCCACGACACGAUGACACCAAGAACGCACAAUAAUCUGAAAAUGGAUCCAUAAUGUUGCUGCAGUUGAUGACGAAUAUUGAGUGAAGGUUGGGAUGAUGAUGAUGAUUGGAGAAAAUGCUCAAUAGGAGAGAAGCUGAGGGUAUGAGGAGAUGAAGAUGGCAACUGAAGGGGAAGGGUCAAGAUGGAUCAAGUGGAAGCAAUGGUGAAGAAGAUGGUGAAGAUUGAAGCAUAAGGUCCAGAGAAUGGAAUGUGUGUGUUGAUUGAAAGUGAGAAAAUGGAGAAUCCAAGGAGUGAGUGAAGGUUCUGGUUGCCAAUAUAUAGAGGUUGGAAGGGAUGGUCUCAACUAUCAGGAUUGUUUGAACUAUGAACAUGAUGCUGACUGGCGCAGUAUAACUUGAAUACAUUGAUAGGGCUUUGGCACUGGCAGCACGAAGUACAUGGCUUGGAUGCACUUUAUAGCAGUUGAAUUGACACAAAGUUGAAGAUGAUGGAUAAAUGUUGGGUCUAUAAAUUUGUAGUACCAUGGCUGUCAGCAGAACUGAAUUCAAAACUUGGCAAGAAUAUCAAUGUAUGGUCUGAGUAUUUGAAUGCGAGAUGGUUUUAAAUUUGUAUUGAUGGCGGGAUUUGAAUAGAUUGAACUGUCUGCAUAGAACUGUUUUUUUUUCUUUGUGACGUUGUUGUUUCUUUUCGUGUGGAGUUCAGGAGCGGUUUGGUCGUUUUCUGCUGCAGGCACAUUAUUUGGUAGAAGUUGUUUUUGAGGGUUGAAUUAUUAUGUGGUUUAUUUGUAACUGUUAUAAGUUGUAGUGUUAGAAACUGUUAGUAGAUAUUUAUUUGGUAAGGGAAUAACUCAUGGAGGAUUUUUAGAAAUAGGCUUGGAAACUUGUGUAAUUUUCAAUGUGCUGAAAUUCUUUUGUAGACUUUAAUGUGCAUCGGUUAUUUGGUAGGACAAAGCAUUUGGCAAGAUGAAGUCUAGACAUGGCUUGAAUUUAUAUAGUAUUGGUAAAAAAAGU